AGGUUUGGGGAGGCUCUGCUUCAGCUGUGGGGCCACAGAAGGCAGGACUCAGGGAUGGUCUCCACCAUGGUCUGGUCCCCUCUCCUGCUCACCCUCCUGGCUCACUGCACAGGGUCCUGGGCCCAGGCUGUGCUGACUCAGCCUCCCUCAGUGUCUGGAAACCCAGGACAGACCAUCACCAUCUCCUGCACUGGAAGCAGCUCCAACAUCGGGGGUGGUUAUAAUGUGUACUGGUACCAACAGUUCCCAGGAAUACCCCCUAAAACCGUGAUCUAUGGUACUAGCAGCAGACCCUCGGGGAUCCCCGAACGAUUCUCUGGAUCCAGGUCUGGCAGCAUCGGCACCCUGACCAUCACUGGGCUCCAGGCUGAGGACGAGGCCGAUUAUUACUGCUCAGCAUGGGACAACAGUAUCAGUGCUCUCACAGUUCUGCAGGGCCGUGGGGAAGUGAGACAAAAACCUGCUGUCCCCUGCAGUGCGCUUCCCCGGUACAGUCCCCACUGUUCUGAGAAGACAGCUGCUUUCUCACUUUGCCUGGCCUGAACUCAGGUCUGAGAC